rnacentral:sRNA from 1 species
CGACUAAGGUUCGACUCGAGCGAAGCGAGAGAACGUUGCCGCAGGCAACGGCCCGAAGGGCGAGGCGCUUUAGCGCCGAGUAAUCCUUCCCCCACCACUG